UAUAUUAGUACAUAAGGUAUGUACAUUAGUAAUUAAGGUUCAUGUUGUUAUAUUCAAUAGGUGUUAGUUGAUGAAUCAGCUCAUAAGCCAGUGUAUGCUGAUCUGGCUAUUGCUGCUAAAGGGAAGAGACCACAGGCAGCACCAACACAAGAACAACCAGUGGUAUAUGCAUCAGUUAACAACAAAUCUGUUCCUCCUCCCAUUCCUCCUCCAGCUGCUCCUCAUAAAGUAUUGUAUGCUGAUCUAUCAAUAGCAGCUGGUAAGAGAACACCAAAGAAUAAACCGCCCACUGAGGAAAGAGUAGUCCAUGCAGCAGUCAAUGGAAAUAGGAAGUCCACUACUCAAGAGCUGAUCAUGGAUAGGUUAGGUGGUCUGGAUAUUCCUCCUCCAAUACCACCAAAACCAAAACCUU
rnacentral:lncRNA from 1 species